rnacentral:misc_RNA from 1 species
AAAACCUUCUCACAGAAAAUGUGGUAUUGGUAGAAGUGGGUAGUACUAACAAAUAGUACUUUGUCUUACUCUACUGAAAUGAAUAGGCCAGUAAAGCGGACCAUGGUAGUAGACUCUAGGAGUGUUGUAAAAUGCUAAACUAGUCUUCACCAGGUGUAGAUCCUGAGCUAAAUGGACACCCCCUUUAGUCCGAAUCAGAGA